UGCGGGAUCGUCUAACGGCAGGACGCUUGAUUCUGGAUCAAGAAGUUGGGGUUCGAAUCCCUGUCCCGCAGCCA
rnacentral:tRNA from 1 species